rnacentral:rRNA from 1 species
UACGGAGGGGGCUAGCGUUGUUCGGAAUUACUGGGCGUAAAGCGCGCGUAGGCGGAUCUGCAAGUCGGGGGUGAAAUCCCGAGGCUCAACCUCGGAACUGCCUUCGAUACUGCGGGUCUCGAGUCCGGGAGAGGUGAGUGGAAUUCCUAGUGUAGAGGUGAAAUUCGUAGAUAUCGAGAGGAACACCGGUGGCGAAGGCGGCCUUCUGGACAGUGACUGACGCUGAGACGCGAAAGCGUGGGGAGCAAACAGG